rnacentral:misc_RNA from 1 species
GAUGAAGAACGUAGUGAAAUGCGAUAAGUAAUGUGAAUUGCAGAAUUCAGUGAAUCAUCGAAUCUUUGAACGCACAUUGCGCCCGCCAGUAUUCUGGCGGGCAUGCCUGUCUGAGCGUCAUUUCAACCCUCAGCCCCCGCUCGCGGGGCGCUGGCGUUGGGGAUCGGCCGUCCUCGCGGCGGCCGGCCCCGAAACACAGUGGCGGUCUCUCGCGGACUCCCCUGCGUAGUAGCACUACCUCGCAGAAGGGACGAGCGGGCUGACCACGCCGUAAAACCCCCCACUUCUCCAGGUUGACCUCAAAUCAGGUAGGAAUACCCGCUGAACUUAAGCAUAUCAAUAAGCGGAGGA